UGGGGAAUCUUGCGCAAUGGGCGAAAGCCUGACGCAGCGAUGCCGCGUGCGGGAUGAAGGCCUUCGGGUUGUAAACCGCUUUCAGCAGGGACGAAAUUGACGGUACCUGCAGAAGAAGCCCGGCCAACUACGUGCCAGCAGCCGCGGUAAUACGUAGGGGCGGAGCGUUGUCCGGAUUUAUUGGGCGUAAAGAGCGUGUAGGCGGUUUGGUAGGUCCGCUGUGAAAACUCGAGGCUCAACCUCGAGACGCCGGUGGAAACCAUCAAACUAGAGUCCGGAAGAGGAGAGUGGAAUUCCUGGUGUAGCGGUGAAAUGCGCAGAUAUCAGGAGGAACACCGAUGGCGAAGGCAGCUCGCUGGGACGGUACUGACGCUGAGACGCGAAAGCGUGGGGAGCGAACAGGAUUAGAUACCC
rnacentral:rRNA from 1 species